AGCUAAUCUAAAAGGAUGCAGAAUCACUUUAAGAGUAUUAAUAAAAGCUUACUUUUAUUGAACUCUUACUUAAUAUCAGGCAAGGGACUGAAUGGCAGGCAAUCUUCUGAAGAGUACUAUAAUAAGCAUCUUUUUUUCCUAUUUCACUGAGAAACAGAUGCAAGCAAUAUUCCUGCAGUUGUAUCUACCUGCCUCCUCAUGUUGGCAUCAAAUACCGCUUUCCCUCCUAUUACAAUGAAGAACUGGCCAUGAACCUAUCUAUCUUGGAUCAACUCCUUCACUUGUGGAUUAGAUCUUAUUCCACCCACCUAUUCAAAAACACUGCUUCUGCUAAUGUCCACUCUCUCUUCUGCAGUGUUUAUUUUUCCCUCUUCACUGGAUCAUUCAUAUUAGCGAAAAUGUAAACCGUAUGUUCUCCCAUCUUAACAAACAAAUAUCUCUUUUGAUUCCACUGCCCCCAUCAACUUACUCUGUUCCACACAGAGAAAAACUGUUUGGAGAGUUGUCUAUGCUCUCUGUGUACCAUUCCUUGCCUCUGAUUUCUCCCUCUCAAACCCCCCCACCUCUAGUCAGUGACUGGUGCCCCUACUAUACCACCAAACUACUCUUGCAAAGGUCGCUUCUGACUUGGGCGAUCAUACAGUUUAUCACCCAAACUGAGACACCUUUGAGAGUGAAAAGAGUGCCGUUAACAACUACAUCAGGAUAAUAGGCAAAAACCUGGGUGGUCCAUGGGCAAACCCUGUGUCUUAGACAGGGUUCUAUAGAAGUAGACGCUGUAAUGGAGAGUUCCAUGCAGAAGGUUCAUGGGGCAGCAUUCCAAGAGGCACAACUGGAAGAAAGUGAGGAAGGCAAGAUUAGGCAGAGGUGGAAGCUGACUCACCAUGUGCCUACAAGUGAGGCUCAGCCCAUCCUAUGGGAGAGCUCUGAAGCCAUGUUGGACCUUCAUAGUGAUGUUAAAUUGAGAUCUUGUUUGGAACUUCUAGCAAGUAUAUCCAGUUACCUCACAGGCAUCUCCACUUGGAUUUAUAAGGAAUUUCAAUAUAAUGUGUCAAAAUGCAACCGACGACUUUCUCCCUGACACCGCCCCCAUCUCCUUCACAACAAUAAACUGAGAUUCAAGAAAGCAGGGGACAGGAAGAAAAGAGGUUUGUGAGUUUUGAAGGUUGCCAGGAAAUGAAAGAUGCAUGGUGAGCCAAUCAAUAGUCUAAUGGAAUGGUUUCCAACUUUACUGUCAAGACACACAGGUGCACUUUAAUCAGUGGAGGGAUAUAUUCACAAGCAAAGUGCUGC